rnacentral:rRNA from 1 species
GGCCCUACGGGGUUGUAAACCNCUUUUNUCGGGGAGCAAAUUCCGCCACGUGUGGCGGAGUCGAGAGUACCCGAAGAAAAAGCAUCGGCUAACUCCGUGCC